UAAGGUGGUAUGGUCCGGUGGUAAGGUGGUAUGGUGGUAUGGUCCGGUGAUAAGGUGGUAUGGUCCGGUGGUAUGGUGGUAUGGUCCGGUGAUAAGGUGGUAAGGUGGUAUGGUCCUGUGGUAAGGUGGUAUGGUGGUAUGGUCCGGUGAAAAGGUGGUAUGGUCUGGUGGUAUGGUCCGGUGAUAAGGUGGUAUGGCCCGGUGGUAUGGUGGUAUGGUGGUAAGGUGGUAUGGUCCGGUGGUAUGGUGAUAUGGUCCGGUGGUAAGGUGGUAUGGUCUGGUGGUAAGGUGGUAUGGUAUGGUGGUAUGGUCCGGGGUAUGGUCCGGUGGUAAGGUCCGGUGGUAAGGUGGUAUGGUCCGGUGGUAAG
ensembl:lncRNA